rnacentral:rRNA from 1 species
GACAGAGGUGCCGAGCGUUAGGCGGAAUCACUGGGCUUAAAGCGUGUGUAGGCGGACUUGUAAGUACCUUGUGAAAUCCCACAGCUCAACUGUGGAACUGCUUGGUAUACUGCUUGUCUUGAGCCACUUAGGGGCAGUCGGAACAGACGGUGGAGCGGUGAAAUGCGUAGAUAUCGUCUGGAACGCCAAAAGGUGAAAAACAGAACUGCUGGGGAGUGUGCUGACGCUGAGACACGA